AUUGAACGCUGGCGGCAGGCCUAACACAUGCAAGUCGAGCGCGCGGCGGACGGGUGAGUAAUGUCUGGGAAACUGCCUGAUGGAGAGGGAUAACUACUGGAAACGGUAGCUAAUACCGCAUAACAUCAGAUGUUCCCAGAUGGGAUUAGCUAGUACGUGGGGUAACGGCUCAACUAGGCGACGAUCCCUAGCUGGUCUGAGAGGAUGACCCGCCACACUGGAACGUGGACACGGUCCAGACUCCUACGGGAGGCAGCAGUGGGGAAUAUGGCACAAUGGGCGCAAGCCGGAUGCAGCCAUGCCGCGGGAGUGAAGAAGGCCUUCGGGUUGUAAAGCACUUUCAGCGGGGAGGCGUUACCCGCAGAAGAAGCACCGGCUAACUCCGUGCCAGCAGCCGCGGUAAUUC
rnacentral:rRNA from 1 species